CACACACCGUUUGUCACCAUUGACGAAAGUAAGCUGACUGUCCGAAGAGGGAAGGAAAGCAACCUAAUGGGAUCCCCCACCCCCCUCUACUUUCUUUCCAGGUAUAACUUUACACACAGCAAGUUUCUCCUUUCAGCUCGGAAUUCUAUGACUUCUGACAAAUACAGAUCAGAAUGUAGGACUUGAACUUACUUCUCCAGCCAGCACCGCGCCCGCCUGUGUGUCACGUGCUCCCUCUGAAGAGAAGACACAGAUCAACCAAAGGAUGGAGAGGCAGAGCCUGAAGGAUGUGUGCCUACUCACGAAGCAGGCAACGGGAGAAAGAGAUGGUACAUCUCCUGGUGAGUCAACUGGAAUGCAUGCUUCAGAACGAAGAUGGGCUUGCAAGCUGGAGAGAGAACCCCAGAGGACACCGUUGGAAGAUGGGCAUUCACAACAGUAGGUGUGGGACACCGUGGAUGGCAAGCUGGCAAACGUGGUGACACGCUCCACCGUAAUGUAAGUUUUCCACUGUGAUGUAAGUAUACAUUGUAACGUAUACUCUCAUGAACUAAUCUAAUUAUGAUCUGAAACAAUCUAAGGGUGAUUAUUUUGGCUUGGGAUAACCUCUAAGUGCCCCCACUACCUUAUCACUGCUCUCUCUGAAAUCACAGAGCUUUCUUCUCCUAAACCACACGAGAAACCAAGAAAGUGGUGUACGC
rnacentral:sRNA from 1 species